rnacentral:rRNA from 1 species
GAUGAACGCUGGCGGCGUGCCUAAUACAUGCAAGUCGAGCGAAUGGAUUAAGAGCUUGCUCUUAUGAAGUUAGCGGCGGACGGGUGAGUAACACGUGGGUAACCUGCCCAUAAGACUGGGAUAACUCCGGGAAACCGGGGCUAAUACCGGAUAACAUUUUGAACCGCAUGGUUCGAAAUUGAAAGGCGGCUUCGGCUGUCACUUAUGGAUGGACCCGCGUCGCAUUAGCUAGUUGGUGAGGUAACGGCUCACCAAGGCAACGAUGCGUAGCCGACCUGAGAGGGUGGUGGGCCACACUGGGACGGAGACACGGCCAAGACUCCUACGGGAGGCAGCAGUAGGGAAUCUUCCGCAAUGGACGAAAGUCUGACGGAGCAACGCCGCGUGAGUGAUGAAGGCUUUCGGGUCGUAAAACUCUGUUGUUAGGGAAGAACAAGUGCUAGUUGAAUAAGCUGGCACCUUGACGGUACCUAACCAGAAAGCCACGGCUAACUACGUGCCAGCCGCCGCGGUAA